GCUUUAUAUUUGUCUUAAUUUUAGUUUAUUUGGUCGGUGUGUAACUUUGUUAAGGAAGUAUUUCGUUGGGGUGACGGAAAGAUAAAACAAACUCUUUUUAAAAAGAAACAUAAAUGUAUGAUUUUAUUGAUCCAUUAUUAAUGAUUAAAAGACUAAGU
rnacentral:rRNA from 1 species